GCCGCCUCCGCUCCCCGCCGCGGCCGGACCUCGCCGCUCCGCCCCGCCUCAGCUCGGCCCUCGCCGGCAGAGCGGCCCCCGCCACGAACGCGGCUUCCGCGAGGUAAUUUGAAGAGAGGUCGUCAAAGCAGAACUGAUUUUAAAGCACCAGCUUUACCAGGUACUAGCCUGAGGGUGCCAUGGAACAAGAAAGUGUUUCAGUAUCUGGUGCCACUGCAAGAAGUGUAUAUAAUAAAUAUUUCACUGGCCCGGAUGGGGAGAAGAUUCAGAAAAUUCUCACUGAAAUCGGCUGCAGAAAUGUCUCUUGCGCACAAAGAACAUGUGCUGAACCCACUACGCAGACCUCACUACGCCUGUGCAGAGAGCACGUAUGUGGUAAUGAUGUUACCAAAGAGAACAUUGUAUUUUAUUAUCUAUUGUUCCUCUAGGAUUUUUGACAGAUCAACGUUUUGCUACACAAGUGCCAGUCAAAGCAUGACGUGAAGUAGAGGGCCUCACUAGAAAUGACUUUUAAAAACAGAUGCCAUCAGCAAAAUCCAGUAAGAAACUGGCACAUUUGUAACAUUCCUUUCCAUGUAACACAUUCACUGCAAUGGACUGUCCUCACAUUUUUUCCUGAAGCUGCAAAAUGGCUAAACCAUGAAGGCUGAUUUGAGUGCUAGCGUAUGUCACCUAAGUCACUUCUAAUGCUUUAGAAUGACAGGAACCAUGAGCUUACAGCCUGAUUACAAGACGAAUGGGUUUUCCAAAAGACCCUUUGGAAAGCUGAUACAGGUACUUCAUAAGUUAGCACCAAUGAAAAACAGAUUCACUCUUAGUGACAUGGUACUUAGACCUGCCAAGAGGCUGCAUAAUCAUCUGCUGCUUUCACAUAGUCAACAUCAGAGGAAUGGAUGUAUUAGAAUUAAUGAUUUAAGAGGUAAAAUAUCAUACUUGAAAUAUCUCAUCUCCCUAGCUAGAAUCACACACCAAAUCUUGCUUGGAUUGAUUCUCAUCCUUCUAAGUUAUGCAUGUUUCAAGCCUCCUUUAUUUACUUAAUAGAGUUGGUCAAACCUUGGAACUUCUGUUUUGCAAAAUGUUUCUAAACACAUUUCAAUCUACACUGAAACAAAAACAUGAGCAAAACCCAAAAAUGUCCUGGAAAGAAAAGAAAAGCUGAAAAACAUUGGCUAUGGAAAAGUACUAUUUGAUAUGUCAUUCUAUAGUUUUGUCAUCUUGCAUAUUUUUAUAUCAUUUUAUGCCAAGCCAGCAGCAGUGAUUCAUUAUAUGAAAUUGGAAUAUUAUAGAUUCAAUACAGAAGCAUUCGUCUUAGUGACAGGAAAGGAUCUUUUAGGUCACUGAGCCACUUCCCUGCAACUGCAGGAAAUCACAUUAAAGACAUUUAAGCCAGAAAGAUCCACAAAAGCUUAACUUCAUUCAACUGUCUACUCUUGGAGUUACAAACCCCCAAACCCCUGACCACCCCAUAAUAAAAUGAAAGCUGUCGGAGCUAAAGAAAAGCCUCAGAAGCUGAUCUAUGCUGCAAAUCUAUGCUCAAAAGCAUUGACAAUGUGCUAGGUCCUGGCACUGGCACAAACUUUGUGAGAUUUCAUCAAACAAAUAUUCAGAUCACAAGUGUCUGAUGAGCUCAAAGCCAAACUUAUGGACAAGACGUUAAUGUCCACGUGUGUUGUCUUCUCAGCAGGCUCAUUUAAAAAAAUAAUAAUUCCCUGGCAGUCUUUUUCAUCCAAGCUCCAGUGACCUUAGUGCCCUCCCUGCUGUUGUAUAGCGCACUAUGAACUUGUAAACGUUGCUUCAUGUCUCCAUGAGCAACAUUUCUUGGUGCUGCCUGCAUAUCAUAUGAAGCACAUGGGAAUGAAACGAGCUCCCUAGAAGUAACAGAUGGCAAUGUCUCUAUUCUCACAGCAAGCCAAGCUAUAAGAAAAAGCUACUGGGUUGCAAAGGCUUAUAAUAUAAAUAGCACCAUUGUACCAUUAUUUUUAUUCCUUUGAUAUUCGGUAAAUGAAUUGGCCAUAGACAUUUUACUGUGUUUGAUUAGAGUCUUAUUAAUCCACAUGAAAGUGCCAUAACAUGUUUCAGGGAGCUUACUGAAGAGCCAGCAUGGAGUAUCUAAAGGCAGCUGCCAGAUAGUACAAAAAUCUAACUGCUUUGAGGCUAUGCAGAGAGCUGAAGAAAAGUGGGUUUGUAUUCACUACAGAUAUUCUUGCAAGGGCAUAACUGAGUUGGAAAAUGCACUGAGAAAUGCUAAAAAAUGAGAUGCUAUAAAACUAUUCAGGAUUAUGAAAGAAUUAGGAAUGGAAAAUCUUUUAGAAAAUAUCAAGCAUUCAAUGAAUUUGAGAAGUUACCUAUUCACAAUGAAUGUGAAGAUGGAGAAACAGAAGAUGAAGAAAAAAGAAGGAAAGCAACUGUAAAACACUGUCUAAGCAGGAGGAGUGAUAGCACUACCAUAACACUCUUAUGUUCUUUGGUUGGAGAUUCUAUUACAGUUUCCCUAUAAUCUCCAUUAAAGAAAAGCCAGACCCUUUGGAUGUCCAGAACUAAGUUAAGUGUUUGAUUUCCUGACAGUGGCAAUCAGGAAGAGUCACGCUAUUUUAAACUAAAUAUCACCUCAACAUCAAGAAUUGCUUAGUGUCCUUCAGGAACAGCAGAGCACCUGUCAGAGAUAAGCUGCUUACCUGAAAAUACCCUCAGAGGCACUCCGAGCAUCAACGGCACUUCACCAGUUUAGAAGAUGUUCUUGUACAAAAGCUCAUGUGUAACUGUAUUUGUACAAGCCUUUUUCCUUAACAGUGUUCUUCUGUGCUUUGACAACUGAAAAAAAUAACAGAAUUUUUAAAAUGAACAAAGGGAAGCAUUGACCUUGCUCUAUCGUCCCACUGACAAUUUAACCGAAUUAGACAUCUGGUUCCAAAGACUCUUUCUAUACAAAUGUCCAAUAUAAGGUAAAGCAAAGAAUGAUACCAUACAGUCAACUUUCAGAGAAAUACAGGUAAGAGUUAGUUCAAUCAAAAAUAAAGUAUUUUUUUAUUCAAA